UGCGGGAUCGUCUAAUGGUAGGACAACAGACUUUGGAUCUGUUUAUCUAGGUUCGAGCCCUAGUCCCGCAG
rnacentral:tRNA from 3 species